GAACAAAAAAAAAAAAAAAAAAAAGCAUAUACUAAACCAAAAAAAAAAAAUGCUUGAAUAUCAGUUGUACAAAGUUUGGUUGUUGUUUUCUAUCUUUACAGGACCAACAACAACAACAAAAGCAUAAUAAGUCAGUUGAAUAUUUUAUAAGAAUCUAUUUAUACAUACACAUAUUCUAUAAUAUCCAUAUUUUACUGUAAAACCGAAUUUUUUUUUUUUUCAUUUAUACUGUGUUCAUCAUUUACUGUAUAGAGCGGUUGAAAUCUGUUGAUAUGUUAAUCAUAUAUUAAAUAUAUGGAUGCAUAAAAGAAGUACACAGAAGGACAAAGUAUACUAUUCUCUCUCUAUAUAUAUAUAUUAUACUACCUAUUGAAAGUGUGAUGACAUUUUUAUUUUAUUUUGUACUGUAUUCGAUUUCCCUCUCCCCCCCACCCCCCUCCUUUUUUUUGUACAUAGUUGGUCUCAUUGAAAUACAUCGUUUAACAAGCUGCUUUAUGGUAUACACAGCAACCUUUGAACUUGUGUGCCGCCAUUUAUUUUUUUUUAGUGCACCAGUACACGGUAAACGAGCAUAUUGUUUACCACUUAUGAUGUCAUGACUACCAUGCUGUAGGUCUGUCGAUGUGUGAGUGUUGUACAGUCUGUAUCUAGACCCAGUACUAUAGGCAUAACCUCCUCUCCCCCCCCC